UACAGAGGUGCCAAGCGUUAGGCGGAAUCACUGGGCUUAAAGCGUGUGUAGGCGGACGGGCAAGUAUCUUGUGAAAUCCCACGGCUCAACCGUGGAACUGCUGGAUAUACUGCCUGUCUUGAGCGACCUAGGGGCUACCGGAACAAAUGGUGGAGCGGUGAAAUGCGCAGAUAUCAGGAGGAACACCCGUAGCGAAGGCGGCACUCUGGGCCGAUACUGACACUGAGGAGCGAAAGCGUGGGGAGCGAACAGG
rnacentral:rRNA from 1 species